AAUUUUGAAGGGCCGCAGUAUUCUGACUGUGCAAAGGUAGCAUAAUCAUUUGCCUUUUAAUUAAAGGCUCGUAUGAAUGGUUGAACGAAAUACAAACUGUCUCACUUUAAGAAGUUUAAAAAUUUAGCUUUCAAGUCAAAAGGCUUGAAUAAUAUUAGAUGACGAGAAGACCCUAUAGAACUUUAUAAUAUUUUUUGUGAAUUUACAUAGUAAGAUAUUUUUUAUUUAUAAAUAUUAUUAUUUUGUUGGGGUGACAGGAAAAUAAGCAAAACUUUUUUGAAUUUUAAACAUUGAUUUAUGAAUAUUUGAUCCAUUAUUAGUGAUUAUUAGAAUAAGUUACCUUAGGGAUAACAGCGUAAUUUUGUUGGAGAGUUCAAAUCGAUAACAAAGUUUGCGACCUCGAUGUUGAAUUAAAGAAAUUUUAGAGUG
rnacentral:rRNA from 1 species